rnacentral:rRNA from 1 species
GAUGAACGCUGACAGAAUGCUUAACACAUGCAAGUCGACUUGAAUUUGGGUUUUUAACUUAGGUUUGGGUGGCGGACGGGUGAGUAACGCGUAAAGAACUUGCCUCACAGCUAGGGACAACAUUUGGAAACGAAUGCUAAUACCUAAUAUUAUGAUAAUAGGGCAUCCUAUAAUUAUGAAAGCUAUAAGCGCUGUGAGAGAGCUUUGCGUCCCAUUAGCUAGUUGGAGAGGUAACGGCUCACCAAGGCGAUGAUGGGUAGCCGGCCUGAGAGGGUGAACGGCCACAAGGGGACUGAGACACGGCCCUUACUCCUACGGGAGGCAGCAGUGGAGAAUAUUGGACAAUGGACCAAGAGUCUGAUCCAGCAAUUCUGUGUGCACGAUGAAGUUUUUCGGAAUGUAAAGUGCUUUCAGUUGGGAAGAAAGAAAUGACGGUACCAACAGAAGAAGUGACGGCUAAAUACGUG